rnacentral:rRNA from 1 species
UACGUAGGGGGCUAGCGUUGUCCGGAAUCAUUGGGCGUAAAGCGCGUGUAGGCGGUCCGGUAAGUCCGCUGUGAAAGUCGGGGGCUCAACCCUCGGAUGCCGGUGGAUACUGUCGGGCUUGAGUACGGAAGAGGCGAGUGGAAUUCCUGGUGUAGCGGUGAAAUGCGCAGAUAUCAGGAGGAACACCGAUGGCGAAGGCAGGUCUCUGGGCCACUACUGACGCUGAG